GCCACUUUUCUCCGGUCAUUGUCGAAAUUAUCUUGAAGGUAUGGUUUACAUUAUGUUCAUCUUCUUCUCUUAUUUUUUUGUUGCUGGAAUUUUAAUUUAAGGAUUGUAGAUUGGAAUGCCAUAAAAUGAAAUGCAUGUUUAGAAAUGCCAUGUUUAGAAAUGCCAUAUUGAAUAAUGUGAUUGUAAUUUUCUAUGUGAUUGUAAUGUUUAGAAAUACCAUGUUAGGGUUAGGGUUAGGAUUGUAAUGUUUAGAAAUGCCAUGUUAGG
rnacentral:lncRNA from 1 species